GCGCGCGUGCGUGUGUGUGUGCUGUCGCUUAGUCGACAUCAGCGUUUUGUUUUCCUCUAAGAGGAUCCUCGCUCCGAUGGGAGCCUUCAUUAAUGGGAUGUUUUCAGACAUGGCGCAGGUAUUUAUGGCUUUCAGUUGGUCGCAUCUUUUUAACAGCUCCUGUUGAACUCAGAUGGCUUUCAGCAUUCUCCUCAUUUAGAUUGUUUACUGUGCUGUAGUGCUCCAAGACACUACCUUCUAGAGCAAAUUUGAAACGAUUAAACUGGGUUUACAUUUAAUUUUGUACAUUUUUUUCCAUUUGUAUUAAGUUCUGUCCAGAUAAAGUUUUCUUUUUUUUUGUCCAGAGAGCAAAUUAGUUGCCAACGAGUUUAAUUAAGACAGAAUGUAAAAAUCCAAACGAGCACCCAUUUUCUGACAGCAGAUUUCUCUUUAAGGUGUUACUUUGUUGUGAACUUUUUGAACUGAUUAAAGUUGAGAAUUUUAUAACCCUGAUCUUUGUUCAGAUUCCAUCAUUCUCCAGCUGUCUAUUGUUGACUGUAUAUGAGAACUGGACUGAGUGACUCUUCCUCCCCUAACUGGCUGACCAAUCAGAGGCCUCGAUAAGUUUGUGUUCUCACAUCAGAGCGGUUGCCAUGGAAAUGUAGACCGACUGGGACCAAUCACUGCUUACUGACAUCAUCUGGCUCCAAUGUGGCGAAAUCCGUAUCGCAAGAAAAUGGCGAAUGAAGUGACUUCAUUCGUUGGAACCACAAGGACAUUCAACACAGUGUCAGAGCUGGAUGUUCCCAUGCUGAAGCCAGCUGGGAUCUCUCUGUACGCCGAUUCCAGCAGGUGGUCUGCCGAGGCAGGCAUGGAGGCUGUGGAGGGAUCUGAGGUGAAACCCAGCGCUGCU